rnacentral:rRNA from 1 species
UGGGGGAUAUUGCACAAUGGGCGAAAGCCUGAUGCAGCGACGCCGCGUGGGGGAUGAAGGCCUUCGGGUUGUAAACUUCUUUUGCUCUGAACAAGGCAUGCUAAUGGGUGUGUUGAGUGUAGGGGUUGAUUAGCGCCGGCUAACUACGUGCCAGCAGCCGCGGUAAUACGUAGGGCGCGAGCGUUGUCCGGAAUUAUUGGGCGUAAAGGGCUUGUAGGUGGCUGGUUGCGUCUGUCGUGAAAGCUCAUGGCUUAACUGUGGGUUUGCGGUGGGUACGAGCUGGCUUGAGUGCAGUAGGGGAGGCUGGAAUUCCUGGUGUAGCGGUGGAAUGCGCAGAUAUCAGGAGGAAUACCGGUGGCGAAGGCGGGUCUCUGGGCUGUUACUGACACUGAGGAGCGAAAGCAUGGGGAGCGAACAGG